GAUGAACGCUGGCGGCGUGCCUAAUACAUGCAAGUCGAGCGAAUGGAUUAAGAGCUUGCUCUUAUGAAGUUAGCGGCGGACGGGUGAGUAACACGUGGGUAACCUGCCCAUAAGACUGGGAUAACUCCGGGAAACCGGGGCUAAUACCGGAUAACAUUUUGAACCGCAUGGUUCGAAAUUGAAAGGCGGCUUCGGCUGUCACUUAUGGAUGGACCCGCGUCGCAUUAGCUAGUUGGUGAGGUAACGGCUCACCAAGGCAACGAUGCGUAGCCGGACUGUGGUGGUGAUCGGCCAACCUGGGACUGGAACACGGCCCAGACGCCUACGGGAGGCAGCAGUAGGGAAUCUUCCGCAAUGGACGAAAGUCUGACGGAGCAACGCCGCGUGAGUGAUGAAGGCUUUCGGGUCGUAAAACUCUGUUGUUAGGGAAGAACAAGUGCUAGUUGAAUAAGCUGGCACCUUGACGGUACCUAACCAGAAAGUCACGGCUAACUACGUGCCAGCCGCCGCAGUAA
rnacentral:rRNA from 1 species